GCAUGGCGACACAGUGCCUGGUGGACGAGCGCAGUGCGGGUGUGUGUGUCUGGCGGAGGCCCGGUAGCCAGUCUUAGCUCGCCUCCGCCACGAGGGUGAAAAUAAUCUAUAAGAGCAAAACUACCGCCUCGCUAUGUGUCUGUCUGCUAAAGAGAACACGGGGCAGCCUCCCACAAGUGCUCGUCUCUCUGUGCUUACUCGUAGUGUGCAUGGGAGGCGAGACAGGCGGUGAGACGGUGUGGUAGAGAGAAAGAGAGAGAGGAGGGAAUCAAGGCGGAGAGUGAGUAGUGAGAAGUUCAAAGUUUGUCUGUUGUGAGUGCGGAAGAAAACGUAGCGUGUGUUACUAGUUACCGAAGUGGUGGGUUCUUGUCUGUGCCUGGAGAACGCUGUGUGAGGACCAACUGUAUAAUCUACAUACCUCUGCAUUCACUUCGGCUUGCAGAGAAGUGUCAAGAAAACUGUACCCCUGAGAAACAUAGACACUAGAAGCCAGCGAAGUACAGUAGAAUACAAGAAUAAUGAAGAGUAAGAAAAGGAACCCGGAAAUAAAUAUCGGGGUGAGGGACCUUCCGCCGGCAACACUGAAACAAAAAGCGAUCGGGAUGACGUCACUGACAACAAACUGGUUCCGGAGGCGGGAAGGCAGCCAAUAAAA